rnacentral:rRNA from 2 species
AAAAGAACCUGAAACCGUGUACGUACAAGCAGUGGGAGCCCCACCACUAAGCCAGUGGUGAACUCCACAUACGCAUCCUUUGCUGAGGAUACGGUUAACGGAGCGAAAGCGACGUUCAACCGCAAAAGAAGCAGAGGGGGCUUAGUGGUGGGGUGACUGCGUACCUUUUGUAUAAUGGGUCAGCGACUUAUAUUCUGUAGCAAGGUUAACCGAAUAGGGGAGCCGGAGGGAAACCGAGUCUUAAUUGGGCGUUAAGUUGCAGGGUAUAGACCCGAAACC